GUAGACAUGUGAGCAAAGACAAAGAGACGUGAAUCAGCUGGGUGUGCACAGGAAACACUCUGGUAUUAUUAGGGCAUGAGCUACAAGUGACAGAGGGGUGGGAAGUGAGGAGAGGAAGCUCUUAAGCUGAACAUCAAGCAUCAUCCUGCAGGCCAUGGAGAACCAUGAGAAAGCUUUAAAUGGGGAUGUAAAAUAUGAUCUGUGGAAGGGAGAGAGCAGCAUGCUGGAGGGGAUGAUUUGGCAAGUCCGCUGAAGAACACAAGCCUCGACUGCUCCCCGGCGUGGAAGAAGGAAGGCGAUAAAUACUGUAACGGAGGACGAGGAAGGAGCACUGAGUUCUAUGUGGAAAGAAAGGGUCAAAAAGAGGAAAACGCCUAUUCACAUGCAUGGCGUUUAACAGAUUUAUUAGGUUGUUUGCUGUGUGAUGUAAAUCUCCUCCUCUCUCUCCUUGAAAUUUCUUGAGUGAAUUCUACAUUGUUCAUUCAUUCAUGUUUAUGUGCCAGCAAGCUUUGGGAGCACUGUAAAAAUAAAAAAGGUUAGACCACUGUUAGACAUCUGGGAAACAUCUAUGUUAGAGAAGGACUAUAUAUUAAUUUAUCUCAUUUAUGGGAGGCAAAUACUAUGAUUAUUGAAGGUACAUCUCUUUCUUUAUGGAUGGAGUACAUCUUAUUUUUCUAAAAUUUGUAUUUGAACCUAUUUAUUUCUAAUUGUCAAAAAUGUGAAGUGAGAAACUUAAAAACUUUUUAGUUUCUCUUGUCCCACCAUUUUAUGUACUUCCAGGUUGUCAAAUAAUUUGGAAUUUUAGACUUAGAUAAUUCUCUAAUGUAUAUUAUAGAUCUUCUAUUUCAAUAAUUAGCUUAUAUUUUAAUUAAAUUGUAUAACUGCAUUAAAAUAUACUUAACUAUGUUUUUCUAGUUUUAUUAUUUGGUUUUUCAUUUAGGAAAUAUUUAUGUUUGUGUGUAUAUAUAGUUGCCCUUCUAGAAUUCUUUAGUUUGAUUGCAUCUCUAUAGACUAGAUAAUGGUAUCUGUCUUACUUAUUUAUUUAUUUUUAAGACAGUCUCAUUCUGUCACCCAGGCUGGAGUGCAGUGGCGCAAUCUCAGCUCACUAUGACCUCCACUUCCUGGGUUCAAGUGAUUCUCCUGCCUCAGCCUCUUGAGUAGCUGGGACUACAGGCAUGCACCAGCAUGCCCAGCUAAUUUUUGCAUUUUUAGUAGAGAUGGGUUUUCACCAUGUUGGUUGGCCAGGCUUGUCUGGAACUCCUGACCUCAGGGGAUCCUUCUGCCUCGGCCUCCCAAAGUGCUGGAAUUACAGGUGUGAGCCACCACGCCUGGCCAGUAUAUGUCUUUGGGUAAAAUUUUUUCAGAAAGAGUGAAUAAACCAUGAUAACUGAUCUUUACUUAGCACUUCCCAUGUGCCAGUCAUUAUUCUUUAUCUGUAUUAACUCAUUUAAUCUAGACAACAACCCCAUGAGUAAGUUACCACUACCCAGUAGUGGCUCUUGGGAUGGGUGGAAGGAAGGAUGACGAGGUAUAUGGAGAUCAAUCAGGAAGCGAUUACAAGAAACCUGGUGAGGGACAAGGGAGGCCUCAGUGAGAAAGAGACAGAUGUGAGAAAUGUCUGACAUCACCCAGAGAGUGAGCACAGGAUCCAAUAGGUAGUUUUUCAGCCCUUGCCCCUCCCUUCCCCUCUCACCCCUCUAGUUAGGAGUCACCAGUUCCUAUUGUUGCCAUCUUUUUGUCCACAAUUACCCAAUGUCUGGCUCCCACUUAUAAGUGAGAACUAACCCUUAACAUCCUCCACUUAUUGCAGUUAGAAAUCUCAUUGUGACGUCCACAAAGCAAGUGAAUAUUUGAAUAUUGGCUCAAUCAUUAACUAAUUUUGUGACCUUAGAAAAGUUACUUAGCCUUUCUGAGCCUCAUAAUCUUCAUCUGCAAAUGGAAAAAUAAUAAUUCCUGCCUCUCGUUGUUACUAUGAACACUGUAAUAUUGAAUAUAAUUAAAUACUCUUCCUCAUCCUUCUUAUAAUUGCUUGUGUUUGGGUAAGCUUGUCUACUAGACACAAGUUCCUCGAAGGCAGAAGUACUCUUCAGUGAAUCUUUACAAUACUCCAAGCACAUAAUACUCAA
rnacentral:lncRNA from 10 species